ensembl:lncRNA
AUUAUUCGGUUAGGUCUUUUCAACCGUGUGACAUUUUGAUUUUCAAUGGCACAAAUGGAGUUGAUCAUUAAUUAUUUGGACGCUUUAAUUAAAAAAAAACUCACUGUGGAUUUAUGAGGGUCUGCUGGGGGGCAAGGACAAGGAGCCCUUUAGUGAUUCUCUCAUUUGAAUGGGAGUGAGGGUUGCAGAGGUCUAGAAAGGGAGGCUAUAGAAUCAUCUUUCAAGAAGGUCUUAAACCCAAGUUAGGCUUUAUUUGAUUGAGGAGGGGCUUCCAAUGAAGCAAAUGGAAAAGAACACAAGAAAACAGAAUUCUGGGACCUGCCAAAUGCACUAGGAAGCAGGGUGUUUAAUACCAAUCAAUGGUUUAGCAGGGAGCCGUCAGCCAUCAAGAGCUCCUGAAUCAAUACCUUUCACAUCAAAACCAAAUCCGAAGGCUGCUACAGAAGGGAUGGAAACAUGCAAGUACAUCCCAUGCUGAUUGUUGCUGAAAUACCUGGAAGGAAGCUGGCUAAGACUAUCCAAGGGAUGCUGAGACAUCUCCGAACUUACAAAAUGGUGGAAUGUGAACAGGAAUGUGGAGUUGUCUACUCUCCUCAGCUCUACCCUGUCAUUUUAAGGUGUAAAAAAGCCAAGGAGCAUCAACAUUUGGCUUCAGAAAUGUUGCUAAAUCCUGAAUAAACAAGAAUGAACAAGCAAGAUUUUCUUCUCUGGGGAAGUUAGCUGUCAUGUUGUGAGGAUACUCAAGCAGUUUAUAAAGAGGUUUGUGUGGCAAGGAAUGGAAGCCUCCUGCCCACAGCCAUGUAAAGGAGCCAGCUAGAAAACAGAUUCUCCAACCCCAGUCAGACUUUCAGAUGACUGCAGCCCCUACCAACAUUCUGACUGCAGUGGAAGGAAAGACCCUGAACCAGAGAACCACCCAGGUAAGAUAAUCCUGGAUUCCUGACCUAGAGAAGCUCUGAGUUAAUAUUUGUUGUUUAAAGCCACAGCUUUGUGGGACAAUGUGUUAAACAUAACUAACACAUGUGAUUAGGAAAGCUCUUAGUAAGAGCAGAGACCAGAAUGAAAAAGGGGAAUGAGCCAGGUAAAUAUAUGUAUAAUGCUUGAAGUAAGGGGGAUAGAACUAGCAUAGGUCUUGUGGUUAGAACAAGCUUCAUAUUUUUCAAGGGAAAUUGCAGGAUUUGGAAAUGGGCAAAAGAUACCCGAGUAUCCAUUUAGUAGAGAGCUGAGCAUUGUCUAGGGUGUCCUCUGGGGAUACCUGAUUAUACUGAAAUAUUUCUCUUUAACUGAAUUUCUAUUUUCUAAGUUAUUUGCUUGUGGAAAACUGACAGUAAUGCAAAUGAUCUUCCUUAAAGAAAUAUAAUGAAUUUUGUCCAGUAGAGAUGUGACUGAAUUCUACCCUGUAGAAAAGAUGGUCCCAAACAAUACAUUUUAAGCAGCUCUAUUGAAAUAUAAUUCUUAUGCCACACAAUCCAUCCAUUUAAAGCGUACAAUUCAGUUUUGUUCAGUAUGUGCAUGGGCUUGGGCAAACAGCACAACAAUCUCAUUUUAGACCAUUUUAUUGCUCUUCCUCAUCCCGGCAAAGAAGCCCCAUUCCUAUCAGCAGCUUCUUCUCAUUCUUUUUCAUGUUUUGCUUUCCCCAUCCCUCACGCCCUAGGCAACCACUGAUCUACUCUCUGUCUCUAUAGAUUGGCUUAUUCUGAAAAUUUUAUGUAAAUUUAAACAUGCAGUAUACGGUCUUUCAAAACUGACUUCCAUCAUUUCGCAUAAUGGUUUCAAGGUUCAUCUGUGCUGUAACUGGUGUCAAUAUUUCAUUCUGUAUUGCCAAAUGAUAUUCAGUUUUAUAGAUACGCAUUUUGUUUAUCCAUGAGUUGAUGGACAUUUGUGUUAUUUAUACUUUUUGGACGCUACAAGUAAUGUCUCUAUAAACAUUUAUGUACAAGUUUUUGUGUGAACGCAUGUUUUAACUUCUCUUGGGUGUGUAAACAUAGGUCUACCAUAUGACCCAGCAGUUCUACUCCUAGGCAUCGGUGUACUGUGAUGUUUGGAACUGGGUGACAAAGGGCAAAAGGAAGGAUAACACAGUAAGCCAGAGAAAACAAGUCCCUUGUGCAAAUUAUAAGCAUCUCUCCUGAGACUACAUCUCGGGGUAUUCACGGAUGGGAAAAUGAAUCAAAUCAGUAUCUCUCUCAUUUUAUUAUUUUUAUUUUAUUCUGCCCCUGGCUUGACCUAGAUCUUAAGUUAUUCAUGGAGGUUUAAAAAGAUAUUCCAGCACUCAAAAUCCUCCCUGGCAAACUUCUGCCAGUUGUAUAACUUCCAUUUUUGUUGUUUAUACCAGCUCCAUUUGUCAUGUCUUUUUUUCAGUAGUCCCUCAACUUGCCUUUCCUAGAGUUCAGCCAAAGUCCUGGGAAGCAGUGGUAACCCCAAGACAACCUCUCAGGCAAGUCUACCAGGCUGAAACAGGUGGCCUCCACAGAAGGAGAAUACUGGUCUGAGCACACAACCCUGGUUAUUUGAGGUAAUGGAAAUCUAAAUUUCUCUGCUCUCAAGCCUUUAAAGGGGACUUAGUUUAUCAGCCAUGACGUGUGUUCUUCGAAGAUUUUCUUUACUUCCUCUUUCUCUCCUUUCAAUUAAGAGUAGAAGUACUCAGGAAAGAAUCAUACAAACAUAAGGGUAGAAUUAAGAAAUAUGCAUUUCUUUUCUUAAGGAAAUUUUCCA